AUUGAACGCUGGCGGCAGGCCUAACACAUGCAAGUCGAACGGUAACAGGAAGAAGCUUGCUUCUUUGCUGACGAGUGGCGGACGGGUGAGUAAUGUCUGGGAAACUGCCUGAUGGCGGGGGAUAACUACUGGAAACGGUAGCUAAUACCGCAUAACGUCGCAAGACCAAAGAGGGGGACCUUCGGGCCUCUUGCCAUCGGAUGUGCCCAGAUGGGAUUAGCUAGUAGGUGGGGUAACGGCUCACCUAGUCGACGAUCCCUAGCUGGUCUGAGAGGAUGACCGGCCCCCCUGAACCUAGGACACGUUCCAACCUCCUACGGAGGGAAGCGGUGGGAAAUUUUCCCCAAUGGGCGAAAGCCGGAGGAAGCCAGGCCGCGUGAAUGAGGAAGGCCUUCGGUUUGUAAGUACUUUCAGCGGGGAGGAAGGGAGUAAAGUUAAUACCUUUGCUCAUUGACGUUACCCGCAGAAGAAGCACCGGCUAACUCCGUG
rnacentral:rRNA from 1 species